rnacentral:rRNA from 1 species
GAUGAACGCUGGCGGCGUGCCUAAUACAUGCAAGUCGAGCGAACGGACGAGAAGCUUGCUUCUCUGAUGUUAGCGGCGGACGGGUGAGUAACACGUGGAUAACCUACCUAUAAGACUGGGAUAACUUCGGGAAACCGGAGCUAAUACCGGAUAAUAUUUUGAACCGCAUGGCUCAAAAGUGAAAGACGGUCUUGCUGUCACUUAUAGAUGGAUCCGCGCUGCAUUAGCUAGUUGGUAAGGUAACGGCUUACCAAGGCAACGAUGCAUAGCCGACCUGAGAGGGUGAUCGGCCACACUGGAACUGAGACACGGUCCAGACUCCUACGGGAGGCAGCAGUAGGGAAUCUUCCGCAAUGGGCGAAAGCCUGACGGAGCAACGCCGCGUGAGUGAUGAAGGUCUUCGGAUCGUAAAACUCUGUUAUUAGGGAAGAACAUAUGUGUAAGUAACUGUGCACAUCUUGACGGUACCUAAUCAGAAAGCCACGGCUAACUACGUGCCAGCAGCCGCGGUAAUACGUAGGUGGCAAGCGUUAUCCGGAAUUAUUGGGCGUAAAGCGCGCGUAGGCGGUUUUUUAAGUCUGAUGUGAAAGCCCACGGCUCAACCGUGGAGGGUCAUUGGAAACUGGAAAACUUGAGUGCAGAAGAGGAAAGUGGAAUUCCAUGUGUAGCGGUGAAAUGCGCAGAGAUAUGGAGGAACACCAGUGGCGAAGGCGACUUUCUGGUCUGUAACUGACGCUGAUGUGCGAAAGCGUGGGGAUCAAACAGGAUUAGAUACCCUGGUAGUCCACGCCGUAAACGAUGAGUGCUAAGUGUCAGGGGGUUUCCGCCCCUUAGUGCUGCAGCUAACGCAUUAAGCACUCCGCCUGGGGAGUACGACCGCAAGGUUGAAACUCAAAGGAAUUGACGGGGACCCGCACAAGCGGUGGAGCAUGUGGUUUAAUUCGAAGCAACGCGAAGAACCUUACCAAAUCUUGACAUCCUUUGACAACUCUAGAGAUAGAGCCUUCCCCUUCGGGGGGGCAAAGUGACAGGUGGUGCAUGGUUGUCGUCAGCUCGUGUCGUGAGAUGUUGGGUUAAGUCCCGCAACGAGCGCAACCCUUAAGCUUAGUUGCCAUCAUUAAGUUGGGCACUCUAAGUUGACUGCCGGUGACAAACCGGAGGAAGGUGGGGAUGACGUCAAAUCAUCAUGCCCCUUAUGAUUUGGGCUACACACGUGCUACAAUGGACAAUACAAAGGGCAGCGAAACCGCGAGGUCAAGCAAAUCCCAUAAAGUUGUUCUCAGUUCGGAUUGUAGUCUGCAACUCGACUACAUGAAGCUGGAAUCGCUAGUAAUCGUAGAUCAGCAUGCUACGGUGAAUACGUUCCCGGGUCU